rnacentral:rRNA from 1 species
GGGCCCGCACAAGCGGCGGAGCAUGCGGAUUAAUUCGAUGCAACGCGAAGAACCUUACCAAGGCUUGACAUAUAGAGGAAAAGUGCAGAAAUGCACUCCCCGCAAGGUCUCUAUACAGGUGGUGCAUGGUUGUCGUCAGCUCGUGUCGUGAGAUGUUGGGUUAAGUCCCGCAACGAGCGCAACCCUCGUCCUAUGUUGCCAGCACGUAAUGGUGGGAACUCAUGGGAUACUGCCGGGGUCAACUCGGAGGAAGGUGGGGAUGACGUCAAAUCAUCAUGCCCCUUAUGUCUUGGGCUUCACGCAUGCUACAAUGGCCGGUACAGAGGGCUGCAAUACCGUAAGGUGGAGCGAAUCCCAAAAAGCCGGUCUCAGUUCGGAUCGCAGUCUGCAACUCGACUGCGUG